GACGAACGCUGGCGGCGUGCUUAACACAUGCAAGUCGAACGGAAAGGCCUCUUUCGGGGGGUACUCGAGUGGCGAACGGGUGAGUAACACGUGAGUAACCUGCCCUUGACUUUGGGAUAACUUCAGGAAACUGGGGCUAAUACCGGAUAGGAGCUCCUGCUGCAUGGUGGGGGUUGGAAAGUUUCGGCGGUUGGGGAUGGACUCGCGGCUUAUCAGCUUGUUGGUGGGGUAGUGGCUUACCAAGGCUUUGACGUGUAGCCGGCCUGAGAGGGUGACCGGCCACAUUGGGACUGAGAUACGGCCGAGACUCCUACGGGAGGCAGCAGUGGGGAAUAUUGCACAAUGGGUGGAAGCCUGAUGCAGCAACGCCGUGUGCGGGAUGACGGCCUUCGGGUUGUAAACCGCUUUCGCUCACGACGAAGCUUUGUGUGACGGUAGUGGGUAAAGAAGCACCGGCUAACUACGUG
rnacentral:rRNA from 1 species